rnacentral:lncRNA from 10 species
UACCUUUUUGUGGCUCACAAUGUCCCCUUGUUCAUUUUGUACAGGAAGACUUGUGGAGUGGCAUGCAUGUUUCUGUGGCUUUAAAUGGCAAUGCGAGCUGUGAAAACAGUCACUUCUGAAGGAGUAACAAUUAGUCCUUACACUACGAUGGCAAAGAGAAAUGAAGCAUACUAUCUUUAGUACUUGAAUAUAACAUCUCACUAUGAUGGAUCAAAAGAUGUUGUCUAAGUUGUUUGUCAGGAAAUGAAGACUCAGCCUUGAACCUAGCUCAAACCAGUUGAGACCACCAAGCCUUCAAUGUGGGCAUAUAUUCUAAAAGGAAUCUUCCAAUCAGUCUUGUAGCAAUGAGUAAAGUGAAGAUAGAUCACAAUGCUAGGGAAUAAAAUGGAUGAUGCACUUCAGCCAGAAGAUAAGCAAUGCCAAAGAAUGAAAUGGGAUAAGAUCGUCAAAGAAAGUUCUGAAAAAAUUGAUUACAGGAAUGCUCACAUUGGCUUAUUCCAUGCCACUAUUGUAGUGGAUGGUGUCUGGCCUCAGAACACUAUACACCAAAAUACGGCAUCUUGACAGCUGAGAAAACCACAGCAGCAAGGUCACUCUGACCUUUUCCCAUAUUUCUUCCCAAAGGAUGCUCAUAAAGAAAUUCUCUGACCUACCUUGCCUGAAACUAGGUCGUAAGAUCCUCAUUCCAGAGAAAUCCUGUACUAUACCUGGAGGCCAAGAAGAAUCUGAACAGUUUCCCCAGUAUAUUACCUUCAGGAUAACUUAGCAAAAACGUCCUCACCAGAUGCAGACUCCUUGACCUUGGACUUCUCAGCCUUCAGAACUUUUGAAAUUUCUGUGUCUUGGAGAUCUUCCUCUACUACCUUAUAUGGUGGGGAAAAGAGACCCUCAGUCAAAUUCUUUCUUCUGAGGAGGCAUGGACAGAAGUUGCUACGAACCCGUAAGGAUAGGCCACCAGUAACACAGAAUAACUCUGAUCUCCUCCACCGUUAACCUAUUCAUCCCAGUUUCUCAUCUUGCUCUCAAGAUACUUCUCUCUGAUGCCUCUAGUUUGUAGCAACUCAGCAUUCUGCAAAGACUCUGCUCCAGCUGGGCAAGUAACCUUGUUAUUGCAUACACAGGUAUGCUCAGAGGACAGAAGGCUGGAAGGAAGGGAAGAAGGUAGAAAAACAAGAGUGAAAAAGAGGGUUUCCGAUUUAUGGAUGUAUAUUAAAGCAUAUUGAAGAUAUCAGGUGAUUUCAUCCCUUUAUACACUUCAGCAUAUAUCUCCAAAUGGUGAGAGAGACAGACACUGGGAGUGCUCAUGCGCAGAGGAAAGGCCGUAGGAGGAUGCUAUAAAAAGGCUGUUGUCUGCAAGCCAAGGGGUGAGGCCUCGGGAGAAACCAAGCCUGUUGACACCACGAUCUUGGACUUCCACCCCUUCAGAACCAAAGUUUCAAGCAUACACAAAAGAAGGGAAAUAACUAAUUAAUCAUAUGAAUAGAUGCAUAUUCUGAUUGCCUCUUCUGGAAAGACUUAUCAGAAACUCAAAAGAACACAACCAUCUGUCUCUCACCUACAUGUGACCUGGAAGACCCCAGUUGGCGGCAGUGGGUUGAGCAUUUUAUUGCCCUGGAAAAGAUUGUGGUUUUGUUGCAAGGAAGAAGAGAAGAAUGACAUUUUUGUGGAAGAAUUGGGUUCUGUCUCCCAAUUAGGAUAGACUUGACUGCAACUGAAAUAGCCUUGAAGUCUUCCUUGCCUGCUUAACUCUCUCCUGCAAUUUCUCUUUGACAAAUGAAACUGUAUGUGAUGGCAGUGAUAUUACAAAGCUAUAAAAUUCUAUGAUUCUUUAUUCAUAAAAUUGCAUGAGAAGAUUGGGUAUCCAAUUGGAGAAAAUAUUUCUGUUUCACACUAAUUGCAAAAAUAAAAUCCGAGUAAGUUAAAAAUAUAAAUGCU